rnacentral:rRNA from 1 species
GCCGGGGAGCAAGCGUGCGUUCGUGAACGCGCGUCGAGAGUACCCGGAGAAAAAGCAUCGGCUAACUCCGUGCCAGCAGCCGCGGUAAUACGGAGGAUGCGAGCGUUAUCCGGAUUUAUUGGGUUUAAAGGGUGCGUAGGCGGGAUGCCAAGUCAGCGGUAAAAAUGCGGUGCUCAACGCCGUCGAGCCGUUGAAACUGGCGUUCUUGAGUGGGCGAGAAGUAUGCGGAAUGCGUGGUGUAGCGGUGAAAUGCAUAGAUAUCACGCAGAACUCCGAUUGCGAAGGCAGCAUACCGGCGCCCUACUGACGCUGAGGCACGAAAGCGUGGGUAUCGAACAGGAUUAGAUACCCUGGUAGUCCACGCAGUAAACGAUGAAUGCUAACUGUCCGGCUCGAAUGAGCGCUGG